UACGUAGGGGGCUAGCGUUGUCCGGAAUCAUUGGGCGUAAAGCGCGUGUAGGCGGCCCGGUAAGUCCGCUGUGAAAGUCGGGGGCUCAACCCUCGAAUGCCGGUGGAUACUGUCGGGCUAGAGUACGGAAGAGGCGAGUGGAAUUCCUGGUGUAGCGGUGGAAUGCGUAGAGAUCGGGAAGAACACCAGUGGCGAAGGCGGUCUGCUGGGCCGUAGCUGACGCUGAUGCGCGACAGCGUGGGGAGCAAACAGG
rnacentral:rRNA from 1 species